rnacentral:rRNA from 1 species
UACGGGGGGAGCAAGCGUUGUUCGGAUUUACUGGGCGUAAAGGGCGCGUAGGCGGUCAGCACAAGUCAGUUGUGAAAUCUCCGGGCUUAACUCGGAAAGGUCAACUGAUACUGUGCGACUAGAGUGCAGAAGGGGCAACUGGAAUUCUCGGUGUAGCGGUGAAAUGCGUAGAUAUCGAGAGGAACACCUGCGGCGAAGGCGGGUUGCUGGGCUGACACUGACGCUGAUGCGCGAAAGCCAGGGAGCGAAGCGGGAUUAGAACCGUCCG